AGGGCCAUAGCACAGUGGUAGAAUGUCUGACUUGCAAGCAGAAGGUCUCAUGUUCAAUUCCUGGUGUCCCCA